CUGUAAGUUUGAUUGUAGUGGAGAUUCAAGAUGGACGCCAACGGGACUCAGGUGGGAUACUUUAUCUAGCGUUAGCCUAAUGCUAAUGUAGGACGUUAGCAAACCUCUGCUAGCAAGAAAGUUUUCAAGGGCCACAGAACGCACGGACAAGAAUGUGGGACCUCCACAGCUUAAAUAGCCUUGGGUGUGUUGCCAAGAGAACCGACAGUGUUCAGGGCCCCUGUUACUCCUACAUAUGGACAUCAACUGCAACUUGAGCCUGCCUUGAAGCCAAGAUGGAUACAACUGGGAAGACUGGAACUCCUGUGGGCUGUAGUAGUAGCUCCCGUCAUCAUCGACCACCACUUCUCCAUAUUCAUCAUAAAGCCCGGAGG